GACAACUUGGCCGAGUGGUUAAGGCGCGGGACUGCUAUGCAGUCAGAACGUUUCAUGGCCAACCAUGGAAGUCAUCCCGUUCAUUCGUGAGCGCAGGUUCGAAUCCUGCAGUUGUCG